rnacentral:rRNA from 1 species
GACAGAGGUGCCGAGCGUUAGGCGGAAUCACUGGGCUUAAAGCGUGUGUAGGCGGAAUUGUAAGUACCUUGUGAAAUCCCACGGCUCAACCGUGGAACUGCUCGGUAUACUGCUUUUCUUGAGCCACUUAGGGGCUGUCGGAACAAACGGUGGAGCGGUGAAAUGCGUAGAUAUCGUUUGGAACGCCAAUGGUGAAGACAGCUCGCUGGGGGCUUGCUGACGCUGAGGCACGAAAGCCAGGGGAGCAAACGGG